CUUUCUUUUCCAAAGUGUAAUCCAACUUUUCCUUGAAUUAAUGUACGCAAGUCACUUUAACUGCUGGCUGCAAAACUUUUGGCAGUUUGUUUGAUAUUCCAACCAAUCUCUGUGUAAAGAACUGUCUGAAUUGUUUAUAGGCUUGUCCUUCUGCCCAGAGUUUAGUCCACAAUCUCUUAUUUUGAACACAAUUGCACUUAGAGAGAUGUUUGGGCCUUGCACUGGAAGACUGUGGUUAGGGAAGAUUCACAGAAUUUAGAAUCAUUAGACAUGUUUUUAUCAACAGUUAAAAACGAGUAAAGCAAAGAGGAUAAAGAAGGAACAAGAGUACAAGAUGAAGAUUAGGAAGACUAUUUCUGCUGUUCCUUUUUCAAAUUUAGAUGUAUGGGUUGUGUUAACAAGACCUAUAACCAACACCUGUGUGAAGAGAUCAAGGAUCCUGAUUUGUUUCUAGGUAAGACACAUUAUUGUCAAAACCAACCAAAGCGUACCUCCAGUAAUGUAAAAGAGAGGAAGAAGUUUUAUUGAAGUAGUAAUUAACAUUGCAAAGUAAAACACUGUAAGAACACUUAUUAAGGUACAAAUUUUACCUGCUUGGUAUUUAUUUCAGACUGUCUAGUAUGUUUAGAUAUGUUUAAAAGGCAGAUAGUCCCAGAAUAAUCAGUAAUUGGGAACUCACUGAAGAUAGAUAGGGAAAGGGAAAAAGAUAGUGCUUACUAUUAGAAAUGAGGAAAAAGAGCAGUUAGAAAGAAGAGACUGAUUAAGUUAAAUACAACCGCACACAUACCACAGUCUCAUUUUGAACACAUAGAAGAUGAAGAGUUGUAUAACACCCAACAUAUAAAUAACCAUCAGAAUAAAUUGUGUCAGUUGUCAGGUUGUGUCAAGCUGAACUACAGCAGAAUUUACAAAAGAAUUAGCAAGUCUAUCUCAAUUUUAUUAAAACUUUAUAUAUACAUGUAUAUAUAUAUUUAUAAUUCCACGUUCCAACAGGAAAUUGAGGCAAAUAUUCUUGAUAGAUCUAUAACAGAGUGGAUGCAAAAGGAGUUCACUAAAGGUAUCUAAAGAACUACUUUUUAGUAGUUGAUGUAUUGAAUAAGCAUCUAUUGAACCUUCAGUGUUCAGUAUUUUUAGUAGUGUCCUUGAUAGUGAUAUAGUACAGGCUUAUGAAAUUUCAGUUGACGCUAACUCUACAUACACUGAAAGAAAUUAAUUGAAUUCAGAAAUUAUAUUUACACAUAAAAUUCAAGGCUUUUUGAUAAAGAAAUGGAAGUUGUGGCAUUUAGACAGAAUAAUCAACUGUGAAGAUGCAGGAUGGAAAACCCAACACUGCAAAAAAAGUACUAAGGUUCAGUGAAUCUCAAGAUUAGUGUUAGUCAAUGAGGUGAUUUAAAAGGAGAGAUUUGGGUAUGUUGGAGCUGGUUAGUCUAAAGACAAGAGGACAACUUAGGAGAAUAAAUAAUAGUACAAGCUGUUGCAAGAAAGGUUCUGAUUAGAAGUAAGGGAAACAGUUCUAAUAGCAACAGGGGAAGGGGGG
rnacentral:lncRNA from 1 species